rnacentral:rRNA from 4 species
GGUCAGGCGGGGCUACCCGCUGAAUUUAAGCAUAUCAAUAAGCGGAGGAAAAGAAACUAACAAGGAUUCCCUUAGUAAC